AACUUAAGGAAUUGACGGGGACCCGCACAAGCAGCGGAGCAUGUGGUUUAAUUCGAAGCAACGCGAAGAACCUUACCAGGUCUUGACAUCCUCUGACCAUCCUAGAGAUAGGACUUUCCCUUCGGGGACAGAGAGACAGGUGGUGCAUGGUUGUCGUCAGCUCGUGUCGUGAGAUGUUGGGUUAAGUCCCGUAACGAGCGCAACCCUUGUCCUUAGUUACCAGCACGUUAUGGUGGGCACUCUAAGGAGACUGCCGGUGACAAACCGGAGGAAGGUGGGGAUGACGUCAAGUCAUCAUGGCCCUUACGGCCUGGGCUACACACGUGCUACAAUGGUCGGUACAAAGGGUUGCCAAGCCGCGAGGUGGAGCUAAUCCCAUAAAACCGAUCGUAGUCCGGAUCGCAGUCUGCAACUCGACUGCGUGAAGUCGGAAUCGCUAGUAAUCGUGAAUCAGAAUGUCACGGUGAAUACGUUCCCGGGCCUU
rnacentral:rRNA from 1 species